UGGGGAAUUUUGGACAAUGGGCGAAAGCCUGAUCCAGCAAUGCCGCGUGUGUGAAGAAGGCCUUCGGGUUGUAAAGCACUUUUGUCCGGAAAGAAAUCCUUGGCUCUAAUACAGUCGGGGGAUGACGGUACCGGAAGAAUAAGCACCGGCUAACUACGUGCCAGCAGCCGCGGUAAUACGUAGGGUGCAAGCGUUAAUCGGAAUUACUGGGCGUAAAGCGUGCGCAGGCGGUUUGCUAAGACCGAUGUGAAAUCCCCGGGCUCAACCUGGGAACUGCAUUGGUGACUGGCAGGCUAGAGUAUGGCAGAGGGGGGUAGAAUCCCACGUGUAGCAGUGAAAUGCGUAGAGAUGUGGAGGAAUACCGAUGGCGAAGGCAGCCCCCUGGGCCAAAUACUGACGCUCAUGCACGAAAGCGUGGGGAGCAAACAGGAUUAGGAUACCCUGGUAGUCCACGCCCUAAACGAUGUCAACUAGUUGUUGGGGAUUCAUUUCCUUAGUAACGUAGCUAACGCGUGAAGUUGACCGCCUGGGGAGUACGGUCGCAAGAUUAAAA
rnacentral:rRNA from 1 species